AAUAUUGCACAAUGGGCGCAAGCCUGAUGCAGUCCAUGCCGCGUGUAUGAAGAAGGCCUUCGGGUUGUAAAGUACUUUCAGCAGUGAGGAAGGUGGAUAUGUUAAUAGCAUAUUCAUUUGACGUUAGCUGCAGAAGAAGCACCGGCUAACUCCGUGCCAGCAGCCGCGGUAAUACGGAGGGUGCGAGCGUUAAUCGGAAUUACUGGGCGUAAAGCGCAUGCAGGUGGUUUGUUAAGUCAGAUGUGAAAGCCCGGGGCUCAACCUCGGAAUUGCAUUUGAAACUGGCAAACUAGAGUACUGUAGAGGGGGUAGAAUUUCAGGUGUAGCGGUGAAAUGCGUAGAGAUCUGAAGGAAUACCGGUGGCGAAGGCGGCCCCCUGGACAGAUACUGACACUCAGAUGCGAAAGCGUGGGGAGCAAACAGGAUUAGAUACCCUGGUAG
rnacentral:rRNA from 1 species